GCAGCUUGUAUAUGAUGAAAACUAUGUUGGUAGGGACAUCUGAGACCCCAUGAUGUUUACCAACUUCUCUGAAUGUGUAGG